rnacentral:rRNA from 1 species
CUGGCGGGCGCCUAAACAUGCAAGUCGAACGAGAAAGUGGAGCAAUCCAUGAGUACAGUGGCGUACGGGUGAGUAACACGUGGGUAAUCUACCCUUUGGUGGGGAAUAACUCUGGGAAACCGGAGCUAAUACCGCAUAAUCCCGAGAGGGAAAAGCAGCAAUGCGCCGAAGGAGGAGCCCGCGGCCGAUUAGCCAGUUGGUAGGGUAAUGGCCUACCAAAGCAAAGAUCGGUAGCCGGCCUGAGAGGGCACACGGCCACACUGGCACUGAAACACGGGCCAGACUCCUACGGGAGGCAGCAGUGGGGAAUCUUGCACAAUGGGGGAAACCCUGAUGCAGCGACGCCGCGUGAGCGAUGAAGCCCUUCGGGGUGUAAAGCUCUUUCGGCAGGGAAGAUUAUGACGGUACCUGCAGAAGCAGCUGCGGCUAACUACGUGCCAGCAGCCGCGGUAAUACGUAGGCAGCAAGCGUUGUUCGGAGUUACUGGGCGUAAAGGGUGUGUAGGCGGCUUUUUAAGUUUGGUGUGAAAUCUCCCGGCUCAACCGGGAGGGUGCGCCGAAUACUGA